ensembl:lncRNA
AACUGCUAUCAAACUCAGAUACAGCAAUGAAAUGUCUUAAUUUGUCACAUGCUUGCUUUUGUUAUUUAUUAAGAUAAAACUUGCACACAUUUUAACAGACAAGCCAAAGAAUGUCUCACUGUCUAUCAGUCCUGGGGAAAUAGUGGAUGGCAGUUCUGUGACUCUGACCUGCAGCUGUGAUGCCAACCCACCAGUGCACAACUACACCUGUGGACUUUACUACUGUGAGGCAGAGAAUGAAGUUGGCUCUCAGAACUCUACUGGAGUUGCAGUUCAUACGGAAGUAAACGUGAAGGAGCUGAGAGAAACAGCAGAGGAAACCAAAGGGCUGUCCAUUCUGAUGCCCAUGAUGAGACAUACACAGCUCUCAACCCCAGGAGCACAUCCUCUGAGUAUGACACUCUGCAGGCCUCAGUGUAUGAGACUCUGCAGAGAAGAGAGACGCCCCAGUCAGAGAUGGAGCUGAAGGAUCUCGGGAUGAGAUGCCAACACCAACCAUGACUUCUGGACUCUCCAUCUUAUACUUACUGCUGCCACAGUCUUACGUUGUUAAGG